rnacentral:lncRNA from 1 species
CUAAAUUUAGGUGUCUAAAUCCUCAGUUAAUUUGCAUUCCCAGUCCUUGAAUUUGGUAAUCAGCAAUAUGUUUUGCAUUUAUUUACACAAUAAGCGUUCCACUGUAUAAUAUUUGAAAAAUCGCUUUUUACUGUGGAGUCCUCAGUGGUUUUUAUUCAUUUAUUUUCCAGAACAAAUGGAGGGAGUUUCCUUGGUAACAUCAGAGAGUCCCAGGCUGAGACUGGGAGUCGCUGUGCUCAGCAGCAUUUAUAGACAUUACAGAAAGAGCAACAGUUUUAGACAGCUGUCACCUUCAUAAAACAACACUUGCUACUCAUGGGCUCAGAUCUCUUUACUUCUCCCAGAAACAGAAAUGUACCAGUCUGAUUGCUUACAGCCAUUUCCUGGCUUAUAGAGUUACUGUCCCAGGAGGAGGAACAGAAGCUGCUUUUACACUGGCCAUAAAGGUAGCCAGCUUGCCUGUGGUGUCUCCAAAUGGAAUCUUGGAGAACAGAACUUUAAGUUUAUUCUUUGAAUGGCACAAGAAGGAAGGAGGUGGAGGAAUGAGAAAAGAAGAAGGAGAAAGAAGAAGGUGGAGAAAGGAUGAGGGAGGAGGAAGAUGGUGAAAGAAGAAGAAGAAAGAAGAAGAAAGAAGAUGAUGAUGAUGUAAAGGGAACUUCUGUAUUAGGUCAAAGAUUCAUCUAAGCAAGGCUCCCGUCUCCAAUGUCUGAAAGCAGGUGAGAUGAGUGCAAUGCAAGGGCACCACUGAUGUUAGCAUCCACAUCUGAGCAAUCUGAAUCUUUGGGACUUACUAAACUAAUGUGGUGAUGAUGAAAAAUUUCAAACUUCUGACUGAGAAAUAGUUAGUCUUCACCACUAAGAACUCUGGAGUUUUGCAAGGGCUUGAAACUCAGAUGAAGGGAAAAUGGUGAACAUAUAAAACAUAUGAAAAAAUAACAUAUACUUAUAUAAAGAGAAUAAAAUUAGUAUUUUAGGGCUG